rnacentral:tmRNA from 1 species
CGCUAAAUUAAAGCAGAAUCGCCGUAGCAUCAUCCUGUUUGUCGGAGGAUGGCGCGGUUAAAGCCAAUAGACAAACUACGCAUGUAGAUCCGGUGGUCUAGGUACUGCGGACGCGGGUUCAAUUCCCGCCGCCUCCACCA